UUUUAUUAUUUAACUAUUAAAUAUAAUGGUUUAGCUUAUGUUUUCAGUAACUAUAUACACUGUUUUGUUUUUUUAAAUAUUGAAUGAUAGAAUAUAAAAUUUUAAUUAAUUAAAUCAAAAAUGAACGUUAUUACCAAGCUUGCAACUUUAAGAAAUGUAUAUCUGCCUGGAAAAUGCAUAUUGAUAAUCUUGUUUGAUACACUUUUGGUUCAAACUAUAUGUUUCAAAUAAUUGCGAUUGAUCACAAUACUCGUUGUUUGUUAUGUGGCUACAUUUUAUGACGGUUUUUAUCAUAUUGUUAUGUGUUGGUCUUAAGUUAGAAAAAGGUGUUGUCGCUACGCUUGCCAAGGGUCAUCGACCGCACGGCAAAGAAAACCAGUCCAUCAUUAGACACAGUGACACACUGAAUAGAACCAGACACUCUACUUGGAUGUUUUUAUAGAUAUCAAUACAUGAGAUAUUCGGCUUGUAUGUGCAACAAUCGGUUUAGGAACUGAAUUUAACUAACAUCAUCAAAGAAUAUUUUCGACCGAAUUUUCAUCGUAUUCGGGCAGCAAUAAUGUGCAAAACUCACGGUGUCCCGUUAAAAAAUAUCGAUAAGCUAACAUGAAAACAAGGUGCAUUGAACUCGAUUUUUACUGAAUUUUUAGAUGACAAGAUUAUUCGAUGGUUCAAAUAAAAUUUAUUAUUCCAAAUACGUAAG